UCAGUUAUAUGCAUAUCAUCGAUAAUGUAUCUACUAUUUACAAUACAUUUCCUAUACAUAAUUUAAUAGAGUUUACACAUUUUCUAAGCAUAUCACUCCUAUUCAACGGUGCACUAACUAAAAAAUAAAAAAAAAUGAUAGAAUGAUGGCUAUAAAGAAACCGAGAAAACAUUAUCAGAAAACAACCCAAGAGAGGCACACGCUUG
rnacentral:lncRNA from 1 species